AUUGAACGCUGGCGGCAGGCCUAACACAUGCAAGUCGAACGAGUGGCGGACGGGUGAGUAAUGUCUCGGCAACUGCCUGGUGGAUGGGGACAACUACUGGAAACGGAUGCUGAUACCGCAUAGCAUCGGCUAGGUCCAGAUGGGAAUAGGUGGUGGUUGGGGUAAAGGCCCACCAAGGCGACGAUCCGUAGCUGGUGUGAGAGGAUGACCAGCCACACUGGAACUGAGACACGGUCCAGACUCCUACGGGAGGCAGCAGUGGGGAAUAUUGCACAAUGGGCGCAAGCCUGAUGCAGCCAUGCCGCGUGUAUGAAGAAGGCCUUCGGGUUGUAAAGUACUUUCAGCGGGGAGGCGUUACCCGCAGAAUAAGCACCGGCUAACUCCGUGCCAGCAGCCGCGGUAAUAC
rnacentral:rRNA from 1 species